CCUACGGGUGGCUGCAGUGGGGAAUAUUGCACAAUGGGGGAAACCCUGAUGCAGCGACGUCGCGUGAGUGAGGAAGUAUUUCGGUAUGUAAAGCUCUAUUAGCAGGGAAGAAAAUGACGGUACCUGACUAACAAGCCACGGCUAACUACGUGCCAGCAGCCGCGGUAAUACGUAGGUUGCAAGCGUUGUCCGGAUUUACUGGGUGUAAAGGGCGUGUAGCCGGGAAGGCAAGUCAGUUGUGAAAUCCGGAGGCUCAACCUCCGAAUUGCAUUUGAAACUGUUUUUCUUGAGUACUGGAGAGGCAGACGGAAUUCGUGGUGUAGCGGUGAAAUGCGUAGAUAUAAGGAGGAACACCAGUGGCGAAGGCAGUCUGCUGGACAGCAACUGACGGUGAGGCGCGAAAGCGUGGGGAGCAAACAGGAUUAGAUACCCUAGUAGUC
rnacentral:rRNA from 1 species